rnacentral:snRNA from 12 species
CUUCUUUCGCAGAGGCAAUAUUGUAGCCUAUGAGGUUUAUCCAAGGCGCGAUCAUUGCUGGUUGAAAACUUUACCCAAUACCCCGCGGGGCAGCUGUGGGGCAGCUGUGGCCUAAUAGUUAGGGACUUGGACUAG